rnacentral:rRNA from 1 species
CAGCCGCCGCGGUAAUACGUAGGUGGCAAGCGUUGUCCGGAAUUAUUGGGUGUAAAGGGCUCGCAGGCGGUUUCUUAAGUCUGAUGUGAAAGCCCCCGGCUCAACCGGGGAGGGUCAUUGGAAACUGGGAAACUUGAGUGCAGAAGAGGAGAGUGGAAUUCCACGUGUAGCGGUGAAAUGCGUAGAGACGUGGAGGAACACCAGUGGCGAAGGCGACUCUCUGGUCUGUAACUGACGCUGAGGAGCGAAAGCGUGGGGAGCGAACAGGAUUAGAUACCCCUGUAGUCCCUGUCUCUUAUAC